rnacentral:misc_RNA from 1 species
GAUGAAGAACGUAGCGAAAUGCGAUAAGUAAUGUGAAUUGCAGAAUUCAGUGAAUCAUCGAAUCUUUGAACGCACCUUGCGCCCUUUGGCUAUUCUGAAGGGCAUGCCUGUUUGAGUAUCAUGAACACCUCAACUCUCAUGGUUUGCCAUGAUGAGCUUGGACUUUGGGGGUCUUGCUGGCCUACGGUCGGCUCCUCUCAAAUGAAUCAGCUUGCCAGUGUUUGGUGGCAUCACGGGUGUGAUAACUAUCUACGCUUGUGGUUUCCCGCCAGGUAACCUUCAGUGAUGGAGGUUCGCUGGGGCUCAUAAAUGUCCCUCCACAGUGAGGACAGCUUUUGAACGUUUGAUCUCAAAUCAGGUAGGAAUACCCGCUGAACUUAAGCAUAUCAAUAAGCGGAGGA